rnacentral:rRNA from 1 species
CCUACGGGAGGCAGCAGUGGGGAAUCUUGCGCAAUGGGCGAAAGCCUGACGCAGCCAUGCCGCGUGAAUGAUGAAGGUCUUAGGAUUGUAAAAUUCUUUCACCGGGGACGAUAAUGACGGUACCCGGAGAAGAAGCCCCGGCUAACUUCGUGCCAGCAGCCGCGGUAAUACGAAGGGGGCUAGCGUUGCUCGGAAUUACUGGGCGUAAAGGGAGCGUAGGCGGACAUUUAAGUCAGGGGUGAAAUCCCGGGGCUCAACCUCGGAAUUGCCCUUGAUACUGGGUGUCUUGAGUAUGAGAGAGGUGUGUGGAACUCCGAGUGUAGAGGUGAAAUUCGUAGAUAUUCGGAAGAACACCAGUGGCGAAGGCGACACACUGGCUCAUUACUGACGCUGAGGCUCGAAAGCGUGGGGAGCAAACAGGAUUAGAUACCCCGGUAGU